rnacentral:rRNA from 1 species
UACGUAGGGGGCAAGCGUUGUCCGGAAUUAUUGGGCGUAAAGCGCGCGCAGGCGGGCCUUUAAGUCGGAUGGGAAAGCCCACGGCUCAACCGUGGAGGGUCAUUGGAAACUGGGGGACUUGAGUGCAGAAGAGGAAAGCGGAAUUCCACGUGUAGCGGUGAAAUGCGUAGAGAUGUGGAGGAACACCAGUGGCGAAGGCGGCUUUCUGGUCUGUAACUGACGCUGAGGCGCGAAAGCGUGGGGAGCAAACAGG